UACGGGGGGGGCAAGCGUUGUUCGGAAUUACUGGGCGUAAAGGGCUCGUAGGUGGCCAACUAAGUCGGACGUGAAAUCCCUCAGCUUAACUGGGGAACUGCGUCCGAUACUGGAUGGCUUGAGUUUGGGAGAGGGAUGCGGAAUUCCAGGUGUAGCGGUGAAAUGCGUAGAGAUCGGGAGGAAGGCCGGUGGCGAAGGCGGCGCUCUGGAACGUUUCUGACACUGAGGCUCGAAAGCGUGGGGAGCAAACAGG
rnacentral:rRNA from 1 species